rnacentral:rRNA from 1 species
CCUACGGGGGGCAGCAGUGAGGAAUAUUGGUCAAUGGCCGGAAGGCUGAACCAGCCAUGCCGCGUGAAGGUCAGUGCCCUAUGGGCGUUAAACUUCUUUUGUGCGGGAGCAAUAUUGGUCACGUGUGGCCAGACGAGAGUACCGUACGAAUAAGCAUCGGCUAACUCCGUGCCAGCAGCCGCGGUAAUACGGGGGAUGCAAGCGUUAUCCGGAUUUAUUGGGUUGAAAGGGUGCGUAGGCUGGGAGGUAAGUCAGCGGGGAAAUGCCCCCGCUCAACGGGGUGAAGUGCCAUUGAUACUGCCUUGCUGGAAUGCGGAUGCCGUGGGAGGAAUGUGUGGUGUAGCGGUGAAAUGCAUAGAUAUCACACAGAACACCGAUUGCGAAGGCAUCUCACGAAUCCGCGAUUGACGCUGAUGCACGAAAGCGUGGGUAUCAAACAGGAUUAGAUACCCCUGUAGUU